rnacentral:rRNA from 1 species
AGAAUCAACGCUGGCGGCGUGCCUAACGCAUGCAAGUCGCACGAGAAAGGGUAGCAAUACCUGAGUACAGUGGCGCACGGGUGAGUAACACGUGAAUAAUCUACCUCCGAGUGGGGAAUAACUGAGAGAAAUCUUAGCUAAUACCGCAUAAUACCCACGGGUCAAAGCAGCAAUGCGCUUGGAGAGGAGUUCGCGGCAGAUUAGUUAGUUGGCGGGGUAAUGGCCCACCAAGACGAUGAUCUGUAUCCGGCCUGAGAGGGCGCACGGACACACUGGAACUGAAACACGGUCCAGACUCCUACGGGAGGCAGCAGUGGGGAAUUUUGCGCAAUGGGGGAAACCCUGACGCAGCAACGCCGCGUGGAGGAUGAAGCCCCUUGGGGUGUAAACUCCUUUCGAUCGGGAAGAUAAUGACGGUACCGAUAUAAGAAGCCCCGGCUAACUUCGUGCCAGCAGCCGC